GGUUUGUAUUUAUUACUUUUUCGCGUCACAAAUCUACCAGAAAUGUGAUUUGCACAAACUUCUGCGGACGACUGAAACACGAACUGUGGUGAUUUGCUCGGGGUCACAGAUGCCGUCUGAUUCGUGGUCCCUUCACUGCCGCCAGUCAAAUCACAUAUUCACAUAUUCACUGUGUCAGUGACAAAAUGAAAACGUAGCAAACGGUGGAGGAUCACGCCACCGCUUCAGUAUUGCACCGAUAAUCUUGUCGGGCUCAGGUUGACAGUUAUUUUGUUUCUGUGGUUUUUUGUAAGGCAUCAGAAUUCAUGCAGCACAACCGGAGCUGUUUUUUCAUUUGUUUUAUUUAUUCCACACAUUCUUCUUCCUUGUCAACACCUGGUGGUUACACUUACCCACAAUGCAGCUCAACCCCUGACGGUUUGGUUGGAGAUUUGGGUGCGUUGUGCUGGUAACAGCUCUCGUAGCCUCAGGCGGAGAUGAGGAAGCGGGCUGCAGCAGUUUGUCGUGUUUGGUUGGAGGAGAUCUCUGUCGGAGCUGGAGAGGAGAGGUGGCUCGUCUCUCUCCAUCUCCUCUCUCUGUCGCCGGGAUGCUCUGCAGCCUCAUCAUGGCUCUGGGAACCACUCGAGUCGCACGGAUUAUCGUCGGGAUCGUCCUGCUCCUGUGCAGCUCGUGCGGGACAAGCGGAGCAGAAGAGGUGUGUGACAGCGCGCUGGUGUCCACUCUGCCGCCGUCGUCCUUCAGGAGCUCCUCCCAGCUGUCCAGCAGCCACGCUCCGGGCUUCGCCAAACUCAACAGGAGAGAAGGAGCUGGAGGUUGGUCCCCGCUCAGCUCCGACGGGUACCAGUGGCUGGAGGUCGACCUGGGCGAGCGGACCAAGGUCACCGCGGUCGCCACCCAGGGCCGCUACGGCAGCUCCGAUUGGCUGACGUCGUACCUGCUGAUGUUCAGCGACACGGGACACAACUGGAAGCAGCACAGACAGGAGGACAGCGUCGGGUCUUUUCCGGGCAACAGCAACGCGGACAGCGUGGUUCAGUACAAGCUUCAGCAGCCGGCGGUCGCCCGCUUCCUGCGUCUCAUCCCGCUGGGCUGGAACCCCAACGGACGGAUCGGACUCCGGCUGGAGACGUACGGGUGUCCUCACACCUCCGAUGUGGUGAGUUUGGACGGCAGCAGCAGCAGUCUGGUGUACAGGUCGAUUCCCGGGUGGAGUCCCACGUCCGGAGAGGUCGUCUCUCUGGAGUUUAAGACCCUGAGGAAUUCUGGGACGCUGCUGGAGGCGGCGGCGGCGGCGGGAGGAGGCAGCCUCGGUCUGGAGUUAGAGAGAGGAAAGCUACUGUUGCUGCUCAGACAAGGUGGGACGUCAUCCUCUGAACCCCGGCGUCUCGCUUCCCUCGGCAGCCUGUUAGAUGACCAGCACUGGCAUCAUGUGGCGGUGGAGUGGCGGGGUGCUCACCUCAACCUCACUGUGGACAAGCACAGCGAGAGGGUUCAAAUCCCUGCGGAGUUCGGCCACUGGGACAUUAAACAGCUGAGCGUAGGGGCAGCCCAGAGCCUCGACUCCCUCAAACCACUCGUCUCCAAGAGGAACUUCCACGGCUGCCUGGAAAACCUGCUCUACAAUGGCCUCAACUUGAUAGAACGAGCGAAACACGAGGACCAGCAAGUUACCCUCGCGGGCGAUGUGACCUUUUCUUGUGCCGAGCAAGUUUCCGUCGCCGUGACGUUUCCCGGCCCCCAGAGCUUCCUCCAGUUGCCGGGGGCAAUGGCAUCCGCUUCGGCGGGCGUGUCCGUGGGGUUUCAGUUCAGGACGUGGAACGAGGCGGGGCUUCUGCUCACCUUUGACCUCCCUCAGGAAGGGGGAGUGGUCUGGCUGUACCUGAGUGAGGCCAGACUCCAGCUACAGAUCCACAAGGAUGGCAAGGCCCUGCUGGAGCUCAGUGCAGGUUCGGCUCUGAACGAUGGUCAGUGGCAUUCCGUGGAUUUGACCAGCGGGCGAGGGCGUCUGUCCGUCGCUGUAGACGAAGGGGGAGGAGGCGUCGCUCAUGCCAGCCCCUCAUUUCCUGUCAGCGCCAGGCAUCAACUCUUCUUUGGUGGUUGUCCCGCCGAGGACGACAAUCGGGAGUGUAGAAACCCCUUUGACAUUUUCCAGGGCUGCAUGCGUCUCCUCACCGUGGACGACCAGCCAGUGGACCUGAUCCUGGUGCAGCAAAGACUGCUGGGAAACUACAGCCACCUGCAGAUCGACAUGUGCGGCAUCAUCGACAGGUGUUCUCCCAGUCACUGUGAACAUGGCGGCCUCUGCAGUCAGUCCUGGACCGUCUUCCACUGUAACUGCUCCGACAGCGGCUACAGCGGAGCGACCUGCCACAGCCCCGUGUACGAACAGUCCUGCGAGGCGUACAAGCACAACGGCGACACGUCGGGACACUUCUACAUCGACGUGGACGGCAGCGGACCGAUCGGGCCGCAGCUGGUCUACUGCAACAUGACAGAGGAGAUCACGUGGAUGGUGAUCCAGCACAACAACACGGAGCUGACCAGAGUCCGACCCGCUCCGGGUGUGAACCGGCAUCUGGUCCACUUCGACUACUCCUCCCGCGAGGAGCAACUGUCGGCCAUCACCGGCCAAUCACAGCACUGCGAGCAGGAGCUGUCCUACCACUGCAGGAAGUCCCGCCUCCUGAACACCCCAGAGGGCUCUCCGUUCAGCUGGUGGCUCAGCGGUCCCGGCGCCGGUCGUCUCCAGACUUACUGGGGCGGCGCUCAGCCCGGCAGCCGGCAGUGCGCCUGCGGCCUGCGGGGCGACUGCGUUGACCCGCAGCACUACUGCAACUGUGACGCCGACCGCCCCGACUGGGCUGCAGACUCGGGCCUGCUCACCCACAAGGAGAGCCUCCCCGUCAGGUCCCUGGUGCUGGGUGACAUCCAGAGGCCGGGGUCAGAGGCCGCCUACAGGGUGGGGCCGCUCCGUUGCCACGGAGACAAGAACUUCUGGAACGCCGCGUUUUUCGACAAGGAGACGUCGUACCUCCACUUCCCCACCUUCCACGGGGAGCUGAGCGCCGACAUCUCCUUCCUGUUCAAGACCACGGCCUCGUCCGGCGUGUUCCUGGAAAACCUGGGCAUCAAGGACUUCAUCCGCAUCGAGCUGAGGUCCUCCGCCCAGGUGGUGUUCUCCUUCGACGUGGGCGACGGGCCGCUGGAGGUCCGCGUGGAGUCGAGCGCGCCGCUGGACGACGGCCGGUGGCACCGGGUGCGGGCCGAGCGCAACGUGAAGGAGGCGUCGCUCCGGCUGGACGAGCUCCCCGCCGCCGCGCGGCAGGCGCCCGCCGACGGACACUUCCACCUGCAGCUCAACAGCCAGCUGUUCAUUGGGGGCACGGCGUCCAGGCAGAAGGGCUUCCGCGGCUGCAUUCGCUCCCUGCAGCUGAACGGUGUCACCCUGGACCUGGAGGAGAGGGCGAGGAUCACGCCGGGGGUCCGGCCCGGCUGCCCGGGCCACUGCGGCAGCUACGGCGCGCUCUGCCGGAACCGGGGCCGCUGCGCCGAGAUGCCCAGCGGCUUCCGCUGCGACUGCGGCCCGUCGGCCUACACGGGAGUCUUCUGCCACACAGAGGUGUCGGCCGCCUUCAAGCCGGCGACGUCCGUGGCCUACACCUUCAAGGGGCCGUACGAGUUGGCGAGGAACAGCAGCGCCCCGCCGUCCUCCAUCUACUCGGACGUGACGCCGAGGGGCGAGAACGUCUCCCUGAGCUUCAGCACGAGCCAGAGUCCGGCGCUGCUGCUCUACGUGGGCUCCUACUACAGAGAGUACCUGGCCCUGCUCGUCAACAAGCACGUUAAUGAUUCAAAGCUGAUGGACCACGGAGCAUUAAGGUUCCGUGUUGACCGUGGAGUUGUCAGAGCCGCAGCAGACGAGCUGGAGGUGAGGUACAAGCUGGACAGCAGCAGAGAAGCAGAAGUGUUGCGGAGCAGAGUGAGGAGUCUGGCCAACGGACAACUGCACACGGUUUCCAUCAGGAGGCUGACCGACUCUGUGUCUGUGCAGGUCAACCAGAACGCCAGAGAGGACUUCAACCUGACAUCUGACGGAGAGUUCAACGCCGUCAGGAGUCUGCUGUUGGGCAGAGUACAAGACUCUGAUGAGCUGGAUCCAGACCUGGCCCGGCUGGCGUCGCUCGGUUUCACCGGCUGCCUCUCCGUGGUCCACUUCAACUCCAUCAGCCCUCUGAAGGCGGCUCUGCUCCACCCAGACUCCAGCCCCGUCGCCAUCGCCGGGCCCCUGGUCCGGUCCGGCUGCGGCGCCUCGGCUUCGGCCAAUCCCUACGCGGCGGAGAACAAACACCACCUGACCGACCGGUCUGGUUCAGUGGGCUCAGGUCAACCUUUAGUCAACGCCAUCAGGACCGACUCGGCUCUGAUCGGAGGUGUGAUAGCGGUGGUGAUCUUUAUGGUCGUGGCCGGCCUGGCGAUAACGGCCAGAUUCCUCUACCGGAGAAAAGAGACGUACCGGAAUCAGGAAGUGAAGGGCGUCAAGCCGGAGGACAGCCCAGAUUUCCCUUUCAACAACCAGACCGACUCCCAGGACGCCUCCAGUGAAAACCGAAAGGAGUAUUUCAUUUAACCGACGACCCGGUGGGUGUUUUUUCGUAAGCGGAGGGUGCAGACGAGGGGAAUUGUCCCCGGGACUUCGCGCUGCACUUCACUUUGAGACUUCACUGGCAAGAAGUGGCUCCACAAAAACAUGGAAAGCAAAAGGGGGGGAAAAAAGGGACAAUUCAAACGGUUUUGUCUUUUCCUGUGUAGUGUGUAUAUAAGGAUCCUAAACAGCUUGACUCUUGAGGUGUCGAUGUCCUCGUUUCAGAAUCUGUAAAUAUUCAAAUAAUGUAAAUGUCAUGUCCACCACAAUCUCUAGCUAACGUCACUGUCAUAUUGAAAAAAUAUUCGUUUGGUGGAUUGAAUAUUCAAACACAACUUUAUUUCUUCAUUCCAGUGAAUCCGAAUCGAUCCGGACGUCGAUGCACGUUUCUGUGCGGAUGAUGAACUGAUGUGUCCGUAACUGGAAGUGGAAAUGCUCCGUAUGAGCUGGCGUUUGAUCUGCCGACAGGUGGAUUGUGACUCGACAGAAAAGCAGUGAGAUGAUCCGAAACGGGGCCGCGAGACAAUCCAAGAGGGCAGAGUGUAAUGAAAACACACGCCUCCACGUGUUACUUCAGCUCACCGCUGAUUGAGCGAAGCCGAGAAGCAGAAAACACACGCCGCCGUCUCUCCGCGACACUCCAGAGCGCUGAUGGGAUUUUAAUGAGAAAAGUUGCUCUAAAACUUUGAAGUGCAUUUUUCAUCCCUUUUGUUUUUGCAUCCCUUUGCAUGAGAACACGGCGAAGAAAGAGAAAAGGUUUAUCGAGCUCCGGGGAAGGACGUUUGGUCAAAAGAGCCCACGUGGGGAUGUAGACAGAGGUGUGUGCAGGCGCGGCCAAGGGAACAGAUGUUUGACCUUGAACAUCAGUCGACCGUUAAUUUCUCCGCCUCGACCUCACGCAGCCGCAAACCGUCUGUUGGUGGCUGUUAAGAUGACGGACGGCCGGUUUCAAGCGGACAGGCCUGGGUGUCGGCGAGGGCGUGCAGCUGGAGUGAUGAGUGAGUACGUGUUCAUGUGUUGAGCAGUCGGGUUGUGAUCCGGAACCGCUAACGUUCCUCCUCGCGACGCUCGGAAAACCAUUCCCACAUGACAUCAGGGGAUAAAACGGAUGAAAUCUAUACACGUAAAAAACAAAGACACGAGAACUGAGAAGGUAAAGAAAUACAAGAGGAAACGAGGCCUGUGUUGCCGAGGACAAAAAAAAUGAUCUCAUGAUUACAACAAUGUCAGCUUCCACCCGAGGAGCCUGUAGGACUCGGGCUUCAUUCAUGCGUUUUAAAUUCCUGUAAACCGAUUUAAUCCAAACAACUUCAGUCGCUUAAUUCCCCCUCGGCGUUUGCUGGAAGUGAAUUCUUUGAAUUAACACCGAGACGUGUCUCGGCGGCGUGCGGGCCGCGUGGCUCUGCGAUCGUUUCAAUUCAAACGUGCAGAAUCAAAUCUCCCCCCAAAGAUGAAGAUUCAAAUCUGCUUCUAUCCUUCGAGUGUGUUAGAGGACGUAAUGAGAUUAGCAGGACAAAAUGACAUCACUGAGACUCCUGAGCACCUUGAUCCUUGGCACACAGCCGGGCGCUACAAUGUUACUGCGUUACGACCGCACACAUCUCUUCUUUUCUUUUCAUGUUCGUCAUUAUUUCACAAUUAUGUCAUCAGGGGAAUUUAUUCUCGAGGGGGGCGUUUUGAUUUCGAGUAUCAGACUCGCCGGGCUUGUUUUUUAAAAAUGUAUCCAACGCGUGUGAGGUGAACAACUCGGUUUGUGAACGGCACAAAAACCGACCUCUUGCGCGUUCAGUUAUUGCUCAAUUCAACGCCCCCAUGUUGCAGCGACGCUGGAGAGGGAUUAUCCUCUAUAUGUCACAUAACAGGAAGUAUUGAAAGGCCUAAUGGAAUUCACGCUCCGUCAGCUCCGUCUGAAUCAAAUCAGUCAGCCAGGUCCUCUAACUGCCUUCUUCUCCACAGGCAGCUGAGAGUCGUUGGUAUUGUAGUGUCUUUUCUAACCCACGUCGGAGCACCUGCAAGUUCGUUUCUUGCUCCAAUUCGACGUCAUUUAUGCCGAGUGAUGCAUUGCAGUGCGUUA